rnacentral:rRNA from 1 species
AUUGAACGCUGGCGGCAGGCCUAACACAUGCAAGUCGAGCGAGCGGCGGACGGGUGAGUAAUGUCUGGGAAACUGCCUGAUGGAGGGGGAUAACUACUGGAAACGGUAGCUAAUACCGCAAACCACCAGAUGUGCCCAGAUGGGUUUAGCUAGGAGGUGGGGAAAUGGCUCACCUAGGCGACGAUCCCUAGCUGGUCUGAGAGGAUGACCAGCCACACUGGAACUGAGACACGGUCCAGACUCCUACGGGAGGCAGCAGUGGGGAAUAUUGCACAAAGGGCGCAAGCCUGAUGCAGCCAUGCCGCGUGUAUGAAGAAGGCCUUCGGGUUGUAAAGUACUUUCAGCGAGGAGGCGUUACUCGCAGAAGAAGCACCGGCUAACUCCGUGCCAGCAGCCGCGGUAAUAC